rnacentral:rRNA from 1 species
AUUGAACGCUGGCGGCAGGCCUAACACAUGCAAGUCGAAUGGUAACAGGAAACAGCUUGCUGUUUCUCUGACGAGUGGCGGACGGGUGAGUAAUGUCUGGGAAACUGCCUGAUGGAGGGGGAUAACUACUGGAAACGGUAGCUAAUACCGCAUAACGUCGCAAGACCAAAGAGGGGGACCUUCGGGCCUCUUGCCAUCAGAUGUGCCCAGAUGGGAUUAGCUAGUAGGUGGGGUAACGGCUCACCUAGGCGACGAUCCCUAGCUGGUCUGAGAGGAUGACCAGCCACACUGGAACUGAGACACGGUCCAGACUCCUACGGGAGGCAGCAGUGGGGAAUAUUGCACAAUGGGCGCAAGCCUGAUGCAGCCAUGCCGCGUGUAUGAAGAAGGCCUUCGGGUUGUAAAGUACUUUCAGCGGGGAGGAAGGGAGUAAAGUUAAUACCUUGGCUCAUUGACGUUACCCGCAGAAGAAGCACCGGCUAACUCCGUG